UACGGAGGGUGCAAGCGUUAUCCGGAUUCACUGGGUUUAAAGGGUGCGUAGGCGGAUAGGUAAGUCCGUGGUGAAAAUCCUGCAGCUUAACUGCAGAACUGCCGUGGAUACUAUCUAUCUUGAAUAUCGUGGAGGUUAGCGGAAUAUGUCAUGUAGCGGUGAAAAUGCUUAGAUAUGACAUAGAACACCCAUUGCGAAGGCAGCUAAACUACGCGAUCAUUGACGCUGAUGCACGAAAAGCGUGGGGGAUCAAA
rnacentral:rRNA from 1 species